GCGCAAUUAGCUCAGCGGUAGAGCACUAUGUUGACAUCGUAGGGGUCACAGGUUCAAUCCCUGUAUUGCGCA
rfam:Alphaproteobacteria bacterium RIFCSPHIGHO2_02_FTLL_46_13 rifcsphigho2_02_scaffold_3358, whole genome shotgun sequence.